GCCCCCCACCCCACCCCCAAACAAAACAAAUCACCAUAGGGCUUGGCCAAAGGAAUGCCUAAUCUACAUGGCAAGUUGAAUCUAUAUCCGAACUCAGUUAAUUCUCCACUACUGAAUCAAUAAUUGGACAUUGACAAGUUUCUUUUAGUUGCAAAUUGAAUGUGCCCCUCUUUGCCAGCAAACACCUACCAGUUCCUUCUUGGAUAAAUAGGCACGUCGUAAGUCUAAUCUGUUUAAAUGGAUGAAUCGUUGGUGCACCAUCACUAUCCCAUCCAAAAUGUUCUGAGAUUUUUACUUGAGACAUAAAUUACCAUGUGUGCUUUACAAAACAUUCUGCUCCUUUUAUGACUGGACUGGGACACUUCUGGCCGUACGUAACUUCUAGGGGAAAAGUUGUAUCCUCCUCCUGAAAAACCGAUUGCCCCUUUGACAUGCAUGUCUAGAAAUAGUCACAAUGGUUUAAUAGAAAAUUUGUCUUGAAACCCCUGUGCUCACGUUCCUAAGUAGGAGGAACUUUUCUUAAGGGCGCCGUUAAUCCUUGGUGUGAAUAAUGGUCACAAUAUUCUUCCUCCUUUUCUUCUCAAAGCCAGAAAUUACAGAAAUAAUUACUGAUUUUCUUUUUUUUGCCUAAUCUACAUGGCAAGUUGAAUCUAUAUCCGAACUCAGUUAAUUCUCCACUACUGAAAUCAAUAAUUGGACAUUGACAGUUUCUUUUAGUUGCAAAUUGAAUGUGCCCCUCUUUGCCAGCAAACACCUACCAGUUCCUUCUUGGAUAAAUAGGCACGUCGUAAGUCUAAUCUGUUUAAAUGGAUGAAUCGUUGGUGCACCAUCACUAUCCCAUCCAAAAUGUUCUGAGAUUUUUACUUGAGACAUAAAUUACCAUGUGUGCUUUACAAAACAUUCUGCUCCUUUUAUGACUGGACUGGGACACUUCUGGCCGUACGUAACUUCUAGGGGAAAAGUUGUAUCCUCCUCCUGAAAAACCGAUUGCCCCCUUUGACAUGCAUGU
rnacentral:lncRNA from 1 species